UUCUGCAUCACUCCCGUGCUCGCUCCAGCCCAAUUUCUCCACCCCAAGUCUGCACAGCGAUACCUCUUAUUACCGCCUACGCGGCUGCGCGUCAGAGUCCUCCCCAAAUCGCUCGGAUCGCAAACAUGAACGCUGGCUAGCGGCGAGAGGGAAGACAGAGAAGCGGCAGCUUGCUUUAACGUCGUCGUAAUUUUUGUGACCAAGACGCCAUAUUUUACUACAACACUCAAUGGCCGAUAGCAAGAAUCUACUAUGGAUGGAAUGAAUGAGAGAAGAUAAGGAAUUCUUAAAUUCAGCAAAGAUACUAAUUGGAAAGCCUUAUUAAAACAUUAUAAAUCUAAUGUGAAUUUACUCACAUUUUAGAUUAAAUUUACAAAUAUUAAGAACAUUCAAUCUGAGAAAGUCCCAGUCAGCAAGCAGGACUAACUGACGAGGCUUUGGUCGCUUCAAAUUUCAGGCAGCAACUACUUGAUUGAAGAGAAAAAAGGCAAAACUUGUAGGUGCACACACACUUUUGAAUUCCUAAUUAUGGAUCCAGAUUUUUAAUAAAAGUGUUUAGUACUAUGGUGUUGAACCAUGCUAGCCAUUAUGGCCAGAAGGAGGGGUCUGAGUUGCUUUGAAAGCUUGCAUAUUGUAAUCUUUUUAGUUAUCCAAUAAAAGGUGUCAUUUUG